GAUGAACGCUGGCGGCGUGCCUAAUACAUGCAAGUCGAGCGAACAGACCAUGGUGGUUGGGCUCUCUGACGUUAACGGCGGAAGGAAGACUAGCACGAGCUGAACCGACCUAUAAGACUGGCAUGACUUCCUGAAACCGGAGCUAAAACCGAAUAAUAUUUUCCGCCGCGUGGGGAAAUAUUGAACGACGGAUCAGCUGCUCCUUAUCUAUGGACCUCGCGGUGGAUUAAAUGGCUGGAGAGGGAACGGAUCACCUAGGCGACCAUACAUAGUCUACCUGACAUGGUGAUCUGACAUACUGGCCACUAAUCACUACGGCCCAGACUCCUACGGGAAUGUUGCACUAUGGAAUCUUCCGCUGUGGACGAAAGUCUGACUGAGCAACGACGCGUGACUGAAUAAGGUCUUCUGAUCGUAAAACUCUGUUGUUGGGGAAAAACAACUACGUUAGUAACUGACCGUUCCUUGACUGUACCUUACCACAAUGCCACGGAUAACUACAUGCCAGCCCCCACGGAAAGACCUAAGUGGCAUCCGUUAUCCGGAGUUAUUGCGCGUGAAGCGCUCGGAGGCUGAUUCUUAGGUCUGAUGUGAAAUGCCCCGGCUCAUCCGGUGAGGGUCAUUGAACACUGGGAGACUUGAUUGCAGAAAAUGAGAGUGAAAUUCCGUGUGUCGCGGAAAUGCGCACAGAUAUGGAGAAACACCCCUGUGGAAAGCGGCUCUCUGUGCUGUAACUGAGACUCAGAUGAGAAAACGCGUGGAUCGCACACGAUAAUAUACCCUGUGAUACCCCGCGCCAUACAAUGAGUGCUCUAUGUGGGAGGGUCUCCCCCCGUCAGUGGUGCCGCUAAUGCAUUAUUCACUCCCCCUGGGGAGUACUGCCGCCACACUGAUACUCCUCGGAAUUGAUGGCGACCCCCCCCACCGGCGGAGCAUGUGGUUUAUUUCUUCGCUGCGCCAAGAACAUCACCAAAUGGGGACGUCCUCUGACAAAUCGAGAUAUAGAUCUUUCCCCCUCGGGGGGCAGAGGGACAGGUGGUGCAUGGUUGUCGUCAGCUCGUGUCGUGAGAUGUUGGGUUAAGUCCCGCAACGAGCGCAACCCUUGUCUUUAGUUGCCAUCAUUAGGUUGGGCACUCAUAGAGAGACUGCCGGUGACAACUCGGAGGAAGGUGGGGAUGACGUCAAAUCAUCAUGCCCCUUAUGAUUUGGGCUACACACGUGCUACAAUGGAUGGUACAAAGGGCUGCAACACUGCGAGGUGGAGCAAAUGCCAUAAACCCACUCUCAGUUGGGAUGGUUGUCGCCAAUUGGCCCCCAGGAAUCGGGAAUCGUUGGUAUUGCUGGAUCACCAUGCUACGGUGAAUACGUUCCCGGGUCU
rnacentral:rRNA from 1 species